ACGAAGGGGGCAAGCGUUAUUCGGAAUUAUUGGGCGUAAAGCGUGCGUAGGUGGUUUUUUAAGUCUGAGGUGAAAGCCCAGAGCUCAACUUUUGAAAGCCUUGCGAACUGGAAGACUUGAGUGCAGUAGAGGAAAGUGGAAUUCCUAGUGUAGCGGUGAAAUGCGUAGAUAUUAGGAGGAACACCAGUGGCGAAGGCGACUUUCUGGACUGUAACUGACACUGAGGCACGAAAGCGUGGGGAGCAAACAG
rnacentral:rRNA from 1 species